rnacentral:rRNA from 1 species
GAUGAACGCUGGCGGCGUGCCUAAUACAUGCAAGUCGAGCGAACAGACGAGGAGCUUGCUCCUCUGACGUUAGCGGCGGACGGGUGAGUAACACGUGGAUAACCUACCUAUAAGACUGGGAUAACUUCGGGAAACCGGAGCUAAUACCGGAUAAUAUAUUGAACCGCAUGGUUCAAUAGUGAAAGACGGUUUUGCUGUCACUUAUAGAUGGAUCCGCGCCGCAUUAGCUAGUUGGUAAGGUAACGGCUUACCGAGGCAACGAUGCGUAGCCGACCUGAGAGGGUGAUCGGCCACACUGGAACUGAGACACGGUCCAGACUCCUACGGGAGGCAGCAGUAGGGAAUCUUCCGCAAUGGGCGAAAGCCUGACGGAGCAACGCCGCGUGAGUGAUGAAGGUCUUCGGAUCGUAAAACUCUGUUAUUAGGGAAGAACAAAUGUGUAAGUAACUAUGCACGUCUUGACGGUACCUAAUCAGAAAGCCACGGCUAACUACGU